rnacentral:rRNA from 1 species
GACGAACGCUGGCGGCGUGCUUAACACAUGCAAGUCGAGCGAUGAAGUUCCUUCGGGAAUGGAUUAGCGGCGGACGGGUGAGUAACACGUGGGUAACCUGCCUCAUAGAGGGGAAUAGCCUUCCGAAAGGAAGAUUAAUACCGCAUAAGAUUGUAGUAUCGCAUGAUAUAGCAAUUAAAGGAGUAAUCCGCUAUGAGAUGGACCCGCGUUGCAUUAGCUAGUUGGUUAGGUAACGGCCCACCAAGGCGACGAUGCGUAGCCGACCUGAGAGGGUGAUCGGCCACAUUGGGACUGAGACACGGCCCAGACUCCUACGGGAGGCAGCAGUGGGGAAUAUUGCACAAUGGGGGAAACCCUGAUGCAGCAACGCCGCGUGAGUGAUGACGGUCUUCGGAUUGUAAAGCUCUGUCUUCAGGGACGAUAAUGACGGUACCUGAGGAGGAAGCCACGGCUAACUACGUGCCAGCAGCCGCCGUAA